UGUGUGUAAUUGGGUUAAAAAGCUUUAUAUCAAAGUUUCAUAGUAUUUAAAUAAUUACUUUGUGAGAUAUGAAGGAAGUUGUACACGGGUGUAAAAAAGCUAGGGUUUGAAGCUACAGUUAGGGUUUUCAAGAUAUCACAAGAUCCAAGACGAAUUUACCGUUGAAUUUUGGUGUGGUAGUUGCUAAAGAUAUAUCAGUACUCCAUGUAAAAUUUGGAGUUGUUUAGACGGUUAGAUCGUAAGUUAUAAGCUGUUGAACUUCGGAAAAAAUUCCUCAUAAGGAUAUAUAAGUUUUUU
rnacentral:lncRNA from 1 species